GCAGGAGCACCUGGGGGCCGGUUAGGGCUGCAGGUUGUUAGUGGGAAGUCUGGGGGUGGGGCCCAGCCGUCCUCAUCUAAACAAGCCCCGGGUUUCCAAUACAAUUUUGGUCUCUGUUUGGAGUAACUUUAUUGGAAGCAGCCAGUAGCUACCAGGGCCCUCCUGUGUUUCCUUUCUUUCUGGUCAUUCAAGCUCCAGGAGAACCCACCCUCAAAGCCGGCCUUCCCUUCACCAAGCCCAGCAGGUGUCGCUUCACGCAAUGGUUCUCCGGUGGCCGCACAGUGGAAUCACCUGGAAGCUUCUGGACCUAAUGGUGCCUGGCCCCACCGCCCCAGGGGUCGAGGCCAUAUGUCCAGGCUUUAAAUCUUCCCUGUGGGUCUGAGUGGGGAUCCCUGCCUGGGGAGGCUUCAGUGCCCCUCAGAGGGGGAGUCUUGCUGCCCUUUACCCCUUCGUGGCCAAACAGUCACAGAGAGAACGAAUUAGAAAUCCGGGCAGAUUCGACCCGGAGACAAACGCGUCCCGGCACAAGCAGCAAGGUGCACGCCAGGACCCCUCCCGAGGGACACAGAAUCUGCCAAAGCCCUCGCAGUUGAUUGAUCUAUCGUUGACUGUCUGUCUCCCCAUCAGGGGAGACCUUGGACGUGCCCUGAAGGCGUUCCAGCAGGUGCCAGGCCAGGCCCUACAGAUCCCCCCUCUUCUGACCAUUUCUUCGGUGCCGGCUGCUCGUCCAUCACAUCGGCCAGGAACCUUCCUGGAAUCCGGAAGAAUUCCCUGUGGUUCUCGGAGAGGUGGGGAACUUUCUUAGGACCACCCAGCUUGUAAUUAGCAAGCCAGGUUUGGAAUCGGAUUUUCCAAUUCACCAAAUGCUGCUGGUUUACCCCUCGAGGCAUCGUUUGAAUUGCAAAGCUUUAUUUUAUAGUCUUGGGUGGUCCUCAGACCAGACCACCUCAGGGGAUCUGGUGGAAAGGAAGCCUCUCCACCCGUCCCUGGGACUCAGAACCGGGGGUUUGAUCCCAUCCCCAGGUGACUCUAGGCACAGGCGCGAUUAGACCAGGGACAGGCCAGCUCCAGACACAGGUCGGAUGGGAGGAAGGCGCUGGAGUCAUUGCAAAGCCACAGAAAAACAGCACCUUGACCUGGGGGCAGCCUCCCCAAGCCAAGUGGGAUAUUUAGCGAGACCCUACGCUCUGAAUUAGAGUUUUAUCAAAUUCGAAGGGCAGUUACAGGUGUUUUUGAAUAAAACUGGGAAAUCCAUUUUUAACA
rnacentral:lncRNA from 1 species